GACGUAGGGGGCCAGCGUUGCUCGGAAUUACUGGGCGUAAAGGGUUCGUAGGCGGUGCGGCAAGUCGGGAGCGAAAUCUCUGGGCUUAACUCAGGGGCUGCUUCCGAAACUGCCGUGCUUGAGUGCGGGAGAGGCGAGUGGAAUUGCAGGUGUAGCGGUGAAAUGCGUAGAUAUCUGCAGGAACACCCGUGGCGAAGGCGGCUCGCUGGACCGCAACUGACGCUGAGGAACGAAAGCUAGGGGAGCAAACAGG
rnacentral:rRNA from 1 species